AGUGAACGCUGGCGGUAGGCCUAACACAUGCAAGUCGAACGGCAGCACAGGAGAGCUUGCUCUCUGGGUGGCGAGUGGCGGACGGGUGAGGAAUACAUCGGAAUCUGCCCAGUCGUGGGGGAUAACGUAGGGAAACUUACGCUAAUACCGCAUACGACCUUCGGGUGAAAGAGGGGGAUCGCAAGACCUCUCGCGAUUGGAGGAGCCGAUGUCGGAUUAGCUAGUUGGCGGGGUAAUGGCCCACCAAGGCGACGAUCCGUAGCUGGUCUGAGAGGAUGAUCAGCCACACUGGAACUGAGACACGGUCCAGACUCCUACGGGAGGCAGCAGUGGGGAAUAUUGGACAAUGGGCGCAAGCCUGACCCAGCCAUACCGCGUGGGUGAAGAAGGCCUUCGGGUUGUAAAGCCCUUUUGUUGGGAAAGAAAUCUUUCAGGCUAAUACCCUGGGAGGAUGACGGUACCCAAAGAAUAAGCACCGGCUAACUUCGUG
rnacentral:rRNA from 1 species